AGGCAGCUAGUUUAAAUAAAACCUUUGAUUUCGGCUCAAACACUUGUGGUUCAACCCCGCAGCAGCCUA
rnacentral:tRNA from 1 species